AUCACCUGAGGAUCUUGUUAAAAUGCAGAUUCUGUUUUGGUAGGUCUAGGGUGGGGUAUGAGUUUCUGCAUGUCUAACAAGCUCCCAGGUGAUGCCCA
rnacentral:pre_miRNA from 1 species